UCUGAAUGAGAAACUCCAGGGUAGUUGCU
rnacentral:piRNA from 1 species